rnacentral:lncRNA from 1 species
UCUUUCCAACCUGGAGAUGGAUGAUGCAGUAAGCUAGGGAGCAAGGCAAGCCUCACUGUGCCAAAAUCGAAUGAAGAGCGUAAGAAAAACCUAGAAAAGCCUCACUGUGCCCGAAGGAUUUCGCCAUGGCUGAGAUCUCAAAUCCAAGGUCACGUACAGCUUCUCUCUCGCAGAGACAGGAGGGUGUGGGCCGGAGGCUAUGCCGGCGCUUCCAAGAAGCGAAGACGGAAAGGCCGUAAUAGCUCUCCCCUGGAGGCAAAAACACUAGGGUUUCAAAACACUCGCGGCCCCGCCGAGGGAUCAAGGUUGGGAUACGGCGCCACCUCCUGGAUUCUUCUCGCCU